CCGAGUGCUGGGAUUAAAGGUGG
rnacentral:piRNA from 1 species